AGGACCCAUGAGCUUGUGAGGGUCUCAUGACCCACCCCUCAAGCACAUUCCAACCCCUGCUUGCAGUAGGUCUGCUUCUACUCGAAGGCCAAAGAAAGUCAUGUGCAGAAGACCAAGCUCUAGAGCCCCUUCUCAACUGCUGGGCGAAUGGUCAUGACUCUGUUAAUGAUCAAACUGGAGCACCAUGCAGCAGUCCCGCUGGUCACAUGAAAGCUCAGGAAGAAAUGAAGCCACUGGGAAAAGCCACCGAUGCCAUGACCUUCUGUUCCCAGGGCUGGAGUGCAGGCCGAGCCUCUGCUCAGACAGUCCCCAGCAGAUUCUGUUCUGAGAAAUGAAGCGAGACCAUCAGGCUUUUGUGUGAAUUACGGAGGGAGGAUUCACGACGCGGGAAUCAUCCGGUAUCCUCACGACGUGAUCUCUUCAAUCCCGAGCAUCUCUGGGUGGAGGCUUUGCCAUCGUUAGACGGGAUGACUGCUGACUAGGGAGAGAGCCUUCUAAGAACACCAUGUGAUACAGUAAUAGCUGCUACAGUUAAUUGAGCUAUUACCACGUGUCAGGAGCUCUGCUUGAUCCUUCACACACAUGGUCCCAAUUAUUGGAAAAAGCACCCGCUUUUUU